rnacentral:lncRNA from 1 species
AAUGAUUUUGGCAGGAGCCAAGUUUUGUGAGAUAUAUAAGCCAUGUUGAUUAAUUGAGUAAACUGAAUAUUCAUGUUAUGAAACAUAUAUUGGAAAAGAAUAUUUUAAUUCGUCUCCAUUUACUCACCUUUAGAUAGUUUAGAUGGUGUCUGUUUACUCAUUGGGCUUAUGUAAUCAUAAUCUCACCCCUUUUCCUAUCCAUUUUUCAGGCUUAGGACAGUUUGUUGAUAGUUGAUUAAGACGAGAAUUAAUCUCAGAGUUGUAUCAUAGAAAGUAAGAGUUAGUAGCCCAACACCUUCUUGAUCAGUUGGGGGCCCACGUGUCACUAUAAAAAUAAUUUUAUACUUCAGUUAUCUGAUUUAAAGUAUGUAUGAACAUAUUUAUCUUUUACACCAAGUUUUUG